rnacentral:misc_RNA from 1 species
GAUGAAGAACGUAGCGAAAUGCGAUAAGUAAUGUGAAUUGCAGAAUUCAGUGAAUCAUCGAAUCUUUGAACGCACAUUGCGCCCUCUGGUAUUCCGGGGGGCAUGCCUGUUCGAGCGUCAUUAUAACCACUCAAGCUCUCGCUUGGUAUUGGAGUUCGCGAUCUCGCGGCUCCUAAAAUCAGUGGCGGUGCCUGUCGGCUCUACGCGUAGUAAUACUCCUCGCGAUUGAGUCCGGUAGGUUUACUUGCCAGCAACCCCCAAUUUUUACAGGUUGACCUCGGAUCAGGUAGGGAUACCCGCUGAACUUAAGCAUAUCAAUAAGCGGAGGGA